CUGCUUCAGCGCUGGCGGAGACGUAUUGCAUGGACCAGUGCUGCCGUGGUAGUCCGACCGCCGCCCUGCCCUCUGGGAAGACCACCCUCGGGAAAGGCAGCCGCCCUCCAGUAAGGCUGCUGUCCCCGUGUAACGCCGCCCUCUGCUGCACUCAGGACUGCUCUACAUUAUGCCUGUGCCUUUGGCCAAGCAGAAAUGGUGGAUUUUCUAAUAAAGAAGAAUUGUAAGAUCGACCUCAGUGAUCUUGAUCGCAACAUACCAUUCAUGAAGUACCUCAAGAUUCACAUGCUUCCCGUAAGUAACUCAGGAUUCACAUGCUUCCUGCAAGCACAUGAAGCCUACCAUCAUAAUCAAAGAUUCUCUUCCAUAUAAAUCAAAACUGAAGAAGGAAACAAGGACACUCAAAUCAGGGAGGGGAGGAUUGAAACCAGGCCUUUUCACAUGCUGCACAGUUGCUCUACCACUGAGAUUGGCUGCCAGCCUUUUCUUUAAAGUUGAUGAUUCUGUAAAAUUCUUUUAUCUGAUUUGUUCAGAGAAAAUACUUAAUUACUUCACUCAAAAUAGGAAGAUGUUUAAAGAAAAAUCACAUGAUAAACAAGCAACUAAAAUAGCUCAGAUUCUGUUAUCCAAUUGAGACAUCUGAAUGCAGAUUCUUCAUUUCACAUAAUAACAAAACUUAAAAAUAUUCACUGCUCACAGUGUUCACUACAUGCAGAAAAAUGGCAAAACUGGAAACUGAGCUUUGUGAACUUAAAAAGGAGUAUUCUGAAGCAAAAAUAGUGAUAUCAAAGGCUGCACAGGAAAAUGUAGUUUUAAAAGAAAAACUCCAAAAUUUGAGAUGGGCCUUAGAAAAAGAGAAGAGAAGAAACAAUUACCUGUUAUUUGAACAAAAUAAGGACCAAUUAAAAGAAGAAGAAAAAGAAUACAAUAAAGAAGUGAAAAAGAAACUUGAAAUAUCUGUUACAAAAUCUGAUGCAGAAUUAAGUACUACAAGAAAUAAGUUUAAUCAGGUUUCUACUAGUGAUAUGACAGAAAACAAGCUGUGGCAUGAAUAUGACAGGAUGAAGGAUAGCUCUAUGAUGAUACUGGAAAGAGAGAAAAUAAAAUAUCAAAACCAGGAAAAGAAAUGCCUUGAUAUUAAUGAAAUUUUAAGAGAAAAGAGCAAUGACCUUCAAAGGAUACACAGACUGAAUGAGGAAACACUUACAAAAACAUCAUUCCAGCAUAAUGGACAGUUCGAUAUUCCAAAAGUGGAAAAUGCAAAGCAAAAUUUUAUACUGGAGAGUGAGAAAAAAAAAUGCAGAAAAAAUGGAAACAGAGGUCAAAUUAUACCCUGCCACACUGGCUGCUGCCCCACAUCAUUGUGUUGAAAGUCAAACACCAAAAAGACAUCUAGAACUUGCUUUCCAAAGAGCAAGAGAUGGGGGCUUUAGUUCACAGGAAAAGAAGAAUUUUGAUGUAUAUAACUUAAAAGAUAGUAGUGAUAUUCCUUCCCAACAAAAUUCGAAGUCUGAAAUAAAAAACAGUGACCUUGAAAAUGAGAUUGGUCAGAAAAGAGAUACCCUCAGAGUAAGGACUUUGAUUUCAGAACAAGAAAAAAAGGCUCCUAAAACAAAGAAAGUGCCAAAUGAAGGGGAUGGAAUGCAAGUGUCAAAAUGAACAAAGGAAAAUGAGUGAAUACAGCAGAGAGCAGAAAUUUUCUAUAAAGGAGAUAUUAUCUAAACUCCAAAGUAAAAUUACACUGCUUCAACAGCUAUUGCAUGACCUUUCGCAAAAAAGAAGAAAAGCAAAAUAAUGCAGUCAUUAAUAUCCAAAACCAAUUUCAUGAUAUUAUAAAACGAUUUCAAGCUCAGACUGAAAGACACAAGCGCCUGCUAAAAACUAGAAAUAUGAAAUUAUUCAAUGAAAAUAAACAUUUAAAGGAAAAAUGUCAACAUAAAAAUAGAAACAUAAAAAGAAGUACGUAUCAAGCAAGUGAACUAUUUCAGGUAUCUUUGUAGGAAUACUCAAAGUGAUCUUUGGUUAUGGUUAAAUGUUGCAUCUAGAUAAAGUAAAAAUUCACAUAAAUAUGUUUUCUGUCUCAACACAAAAACAUAACCUGGUUUCCCCCCAAUACAACAUACACCUUAUUUCCAACACAAAUAAAUCAUCUAUGUUUGAAGUAAGAAGCCUUCCAAUUUUUCUGCUCUGAUUCUUAUACAUCGUGUACAUAUUU